rnacentral:rRNA from 1 species
UACGGGGGGGGCAAGCGUUGUUCGGAAUUACUGGGCGUAAAGGGUGCGUAGGCGGCGCGGUAAGUCGGGUGUGAAAUCUUGGAGCUUAACUCCGAAACUGCAUUCGAUACUGCCGUGCUUGAGGACUGGAGAGGAGACUGGAAUUUACGGUGUAGCGGUGAAAUGCGUAGAUAUCGUAAGGAAGACCAGUGGCGAAGGCGGGUCUCUGGACAGUUCCUGACACUGAGGCACGAAGGCCAGGGGAGCAAACGGG